GACGAACGCUGGCGGCGUGCUUAACACAUGCAAGUCGAACGGUGAAGCGCCUUCCUUUUUGGUGGGUGUGGAUGAGUGGCGAACGGGUGAGUAACACGUGAGUAACCUGCCCCCUUCUUCUGGAUAACCGCAUGAAAGUGUGGCUAAUACGGGAUAUUCUGGGUCUGUCGCAUGAUGGGUUUGGGAAAGUUAUUGUUUCGGUGGGGGAUGGGCUCGCGGCCUAUCAGCUUGUUGGUGGGGUGAUGGCCUACCAAGGCGGUGACGGGUAGCCGGCCUGAGAGGGUGGCCGGUCGAAAUGGGAAUGAGACACGGCGCAGACUCCUACGGGAGGCAGCAGUGGGGAAUAUUGGACGAUGGGCGCAAGGCUGAUGCAGCGACGCCGCGUGAGGGAUGGAGGCCGUCGGGUUGUGAACCUCUUUCGCCAGUGAAGCAGGCCUGCCUCGUUUGUGGGUGGGUUGACGGUAGCUGGAUAAGAAGCGCCGGCUAACUACGUG
rnacentral:rRNA from 1 species